rnacentral:rRNA from 1 species
UACGUAGGGGGCAAGCGUUGUCCGGAUUUAUUGGGCGUAAAGAGCGUGUAGGCGGCCAGGUAGGUCCGUUGUGAAAACUGGAGGCUUAACCUCCAGCUGUCGAUGGAAACCAUCUGGCUAGAGUCCGGAAGAGGAGAGUGGAAUUCCUGGUGUAGCGGUGAAAUGCGCAGAUAUCAGGAAGAACACCGAUGGCGAAGGCAGUUCUCUGGGACGGUACUGACGCUGAGACGCGAAAAGCGUGGGGAGCGAACAGG